rnacentral:lncRNA from 1 species
UCGCGGCACUCUGAAAUAGUGAACAUUUUUUCCAUCUCCAUAAUUCAAUUAUCAGCUUUCAAAGGUUCAGUAGUCCCCUUGAAGGCUGGUGGAGCUAUCUUUUUAAAUUCUACGAUGUUGUUUAGCUGCACCAGCGGCUCUUCAUGACCAUGCUGUUGUGGUAUAUCUUGGUGUGUCUGUUACUGUUCAAGUAAUUGUUGCUACCUCUAUAUCACCCCAACUAGAGUUUACAUUAGUCGAGCCAUGUUCGGUUCUUGAUGCGCCAUCAGAGUAGUUCCGGUGGAGUCAACGACUCCCACCUGCUGGGGGGUGGCACUAAUUGAUUGGGGAGUAUCAUUCACCUGUGGGUUCGAUGUCUCUCGAACAGCACUUCGAGCAACUCUUUUUAUCUGACAUGGAGCCAUCUUAACAAGCUUCUCAAUUUUUUUUUAAAAUCUAAUAUCCAAAAGUAUUUAACCAUGAUUAUUUUCCAAAUAAAAAUGCUAAAUCCUCAUAUGGCUAGCUAUUCGAUAAUUAUCGUUCAAGAUCCCUUCACAAGGAUCUAUCAAAGUCAUUAGAGGAUCUUUUUAAGAAUAUGUAAAACUUUAGAAGAGAGGCCAUCUAAAGAGGCACUUUUAGAGAGAGAAAUUUUUAGAGGGAGAAAGUGAUAUUUUUUUAGCGAAAAAAGUAGAAAGAGAAAGUGGGGAGAGAAAGUCGGACUUUCUAAAGAGAGAUAGUGGAAGUCUAGAGGGAGAGAGGAAAGAGAGAGAAUCACUCUCUUUUUCUUUUUUUUCCUUUUUCUUCUUUUUUCUUUCUUUUUCCCUUUUUUUCUUUUUCUUUUUUUCUUCGUGGGUUCUAAAACAAGGGACCUUCGGGUCUCUCCAUCAAAUCGGAGGCCACAGCCGGCGCGGUUGUGGCCGACGGCAGCUGGGGCUGCUGUGGUGCAGCCUAAGGAAAGCCAGACCGUUGGUCGAUGGUGACCACCACCGCCAGAAAAUUCAAAAGAAAGGGGGGUGAAGACAAACAAAAAUGGAGGAUUUUGGUUUUCCGAUCUUUCAACGAAUCUGAUGGCCGACGGCGUUAUCUAACAUCAUGGAAGGGAAGGGAAGGGGAAAGAGAGGAGGGUUGAUACUUACCUUGGGCUCCGACAGCUUCGCUACUUCGAUUUUCGGCAAGCACAGUAAGGGCUUCUACGAAGAAAUUUCUAGUGAUCCCCGCUAGAUAGAGCCUCGAAUCUUGAUCGGAGGAAGAGGGAAGACCCCUCCCCCUUAAAUAGGGCCAAAGGGAAGGAGUUCCACUCCUCAUAGAGGAUUUUCGACUCCAUUGAGUCAUUCAGGAAGAAGACUCUCGUAAGGAGUCUUCUCCAAUUUUUUUUUUUGAUGCUGCUUUCAGAUCCAUGCAUAAGGAUGGGGUAUUACAAUUAUAUAUUAAAAUAUUAUAUAAUGUAAUAAUAUAAUAUAAUAUUAUGAUAAUUAUAAUGUAAUAUAAUAUAAUAGAUUAUAAUCUAAUCUAAUAGUAGAUUAUAAUAUAACAAAUUAUAUUGUAUUAUUAUAAUAUAAUAAUAUUAUAUUAUUAUUAAAUAUUAUUAGAUUAGAUUAUUUUUUUAUAAUAUAAUAAUACUAUAAUAAAUUGUAUUAUAUGUUUAUAAUAUAUCAUAAUAUUAAUAUGAUAUGAUAUAAGAUGUAGUUAUAUGAUUUCUUGGUGGGUAUUUUGAUUAUCAGUAAAAUUUUAUUUAAAUCAAAAUAGCUUUCCGACAUUGGUUAGAAGGUAUUUUUGAGAAGAAGCUCCAAAAUGAAGUUUUUUCUAAAUAGACCUUUUCAGCUUUUUGGCAAUGUCAAAACAACUUUUCGAUUUUUAUCGGACAACAUUGUACCUUCUAAAAGUGCUUUUGGAGGGUUAGAAAGUAUUUUCUGGCAGUUCAAAAGUUUUGCCAAAUAGGAUCUAAGUCCUCUUUUCUUUCAUUGAUUCAUUUUUCGCAAACUGAGGUACAGAGCCUCUAUUUACAGUAGUCUCUUGCACAAUUUGAGUAGGAUUUCUCUUCUUAGUUUCUAGAAGCAUUUCCUAAUUUUUAGAAGGACAUCCGCCUUUAAACAAUUUAGGUCGAAUUCCUCUUCCUAGUUCAAAUAGGACUAAAUCUCUAAAAAAAAGUGAUUAAUAUAAAAAAUAUAAAAAUACUAAAAUUCUAUGGGAGAUAGAUCUAAAUUUCUAUAUCAACUUUGCCUUCUAUUACUCCGCCUAAUUCUGCACGGAUUAGAAAAUAGUCUUUGACCAAAAUCUUUUUUAAAAAUGAAAGAUUCGGUUUGACCAGUCCAUUUCGUUUCCCAAAUGAUGGAAUUUUGGCUCGAUUUAUCCCUCUAAGGGCCUGGCUCAAAGUUGUAGAUCUUGAAAAGAUACCUAAUUUCAAAAAUAUUAUCUCAAUUAGACAUCAUAUGACUAAGUUAUGGCCUCUUAAAGUUUGGUAUGUAAUUAGGCUUCCUAGUAUGGCAGGUCUUGUUUCUAGAUCCUAUCCAACUCUACCCAUCGUGAUCAAAGUGGUCCACAUUAAAUCUGAGGAUCCUCUUAGAUCAACGACUCAUGGUGCUUCAUCUCUUUUGGUAUUGAAGACCACCAAUUGGAUAUUUGGUACCAAGCCCAAGAGGAACAAAAAUGUUAAGUUUAUGACUUUUGUGAUGCCUUCCACCAUUCUUGACUGGUACAGCCUCCCCCCAGUUUUUUAUUAUACAAGGACCCUCUAUCAAUCAGCUUAAAUUACAUUUGAACCAUUCAUCUGCCUCAGUUGAUGUGCAAAGUUAUAGCACUUUAUAUUGUUUAUCUUUUCUCCUUCAUCUGGGUUCUCUAUUUUAUAUACCAGCCAUCUUAAAGUAGGCAACACCAAGUCUCCUAUGCUGCCAAACCAUGGAAGUUUGGAUUAAUGAAAGUUAGUAUUACUGCUUUUGGUGGGGAAUUCCUUGGAUGCUCUCCGAUGUUAUUGUCUCUUGAUUACUAGGAUAUCAAGUGGAAUUUCGAUGCAGACAUGUCUGCCCAUCCCUACUACCCAUGCUCUGUUCAUAAUGAGCAUAGUACAGAGUCAAUUAAGAAUAAAUACAAUAUGUCACUAAAAUAAUAAAUUUAUAAGCUUUAUCUGUGUUAGCAGGUCGAUGAUAUUGUGGGCACUUUAGCUCUUUGCCACUAUUAUGACAAGGACACUGUGGCUGCAGUGGUUAUUGGAACAGGCACCAAUGCGUGCUAUGUGGAACGCACUGAUGCAAUUAUUAAGUGUCAAGGCCUGCUUACAAGUUCUGGAGGCACGGUAUCUUUUGUUUGUAACCCGAGAUAAAAUUACUGCAUUGGCAGAAUGACUCUGUUAGUUAUGGUUCAGAUCUGCUUAUCUAUGUCAACUGCAUUAUUAUGCUGAUUAGGUUGUCAACAUGGAAUGGGGAAAUUUCUGGUCAUCACAUUUGCCUAGAACUUCUUAUGAUAUUGCUCUAGAUGAUGAGAGCCCGAACAGUAAUGAUCAGGCAAGAUCCUGCUACUUUUUUAUGCUUAUGCACUUGCACUUUUUCAGCUGAGAAAUAUUAUGACAGACCUUUCUAGCUACAGGGUUUUGAAAAAAUGAUUUCAGGAAUGUAUUUGGGUGACAUUGCAAGAAGGGUGCUUUAUAGGAUGGCACAGGAGGCAGAUAUAUUUGGAGAUGAUGCUUACAAUUUGUCAAUACAAUUUAUCUUUAGGUAUGUGACUGGUGGUGUACCAUUACAUUAAAUCAUUGAAUUCUUUUUGCACAAGAUCAUACCUGCAGCUUAUUCCUUGUCUAUGAUUGACACUUCCACCUAAUUGUAUUGCUUUUUUGCAUAUUCUUUUAAGUUUCUUUGCUAAAGAUUUUAUAUGACCAUUCCAGGGGAAAAACUGUUUUCCAAUGCCGUUUGUAUGAUUACUUGCGACUGUUUUCAUGCUUAUUACUUGACUAUUUUCAUGCUUAUUUUCUGCUUGCAUUUUUAAAAACAUAAUAUGGCCAUUCUUUGAACUAUUUCAGCGUGUUGUUAUUGAGAAACCCCAUCUGAUCAUCGCUAUAUUUACUCUCUCUCUCUCUCUCUCAUCUCGUCUGCACCACUCUUUGCUUACAUGCUUCCAUUUAAGGCAUAUUUUUGUGUUGGGUAAAUUACAAUGACCUUGCUCAAAGUUUGAGGUAAUUAUAGAUUCCCACCUAACAUUUUGGAAAUAUAUAUUUUACUACCUAACUUUGCCAUAUACAUGAUACCUAACCCGCUAUGAAUAUUUUUCUGUUAAAUAAACUACCAAUCUAUUUGAUAAUUUUUACUAAUAUCAUCACUAUCUAAUUUAUGUGAGUCUUAAAAUAUCUUAUAAUUUUUUUAUUCUUCAAAUUUUAAUUUUUUAUAUUUGAUCAGGAGGUUGUGUUUAAUUCUGAAAUGUUAGGUGGGAUCAUGUAAUUACCCCAAACCUCGAGAGGGGUCACAGUAAUUUACUCUUUUGUUUUAUACAGUGCUGUAGUUGCAUGUUUCCAUUGAAGAACCUUUACACCAUCUUUUUUUGAAGCCUGUAACAUAGGUAUCAAGUUAUGUUCGUCACGUGCAAGGAUGUCAAGUCUAAGCGGCUGUUGUGAUGCCUAGCUAUACUGUACCUAAUACAUAUAUACGAGACAUUCUCUCCAUCUGGUACAUGACCUUGAAUCAUUAGUAUUUAAUAGAGCAGUUAUUUGUCUAGGUAGAAUAGUUUGGCCUUGUUUCGCAUCUUCACUUAUGCCUUCCCUGGUGCAUAGCUGAUAUUUCUUCUAGCAUGAGUGGUGUUAAAUGUACUUUCAGAACUUUUUCUUAAUAAUUAGUCCUUAAUCAACAACAAAUAGAAUGCCAUAUUUAAUUAUUACUGGAUAAGAAGUUCUAAAAUUAUGGCAGUGACAGAUGAAUUCUUGUGUCUAGCAUGCUAUUAUUGUUCUUGCUAUUUUUAUGAUUCGCACCACAAGUGCUAUUUCUAUGUUAGUCAGCCCUAAGCUUGUUGCUUAUGAUUCCUCAUAUGAAUUUCAAACUUGAGGUAUUGUUUUUAAAGAUGGAAUAAUGUGCAUCAUUUGCUAUUAUGAGGGUCACGGCAUGUCGUGUACAUGGCCAUGCUGCAGUGAUGAUUCUGUCAGGACAAUGCCAAGCAUAUGGAACAAGUGAUAAAAACAUGUACCCCACAACCCUAUUUUCCUUCUACUUGUGGGCAAAGGCAUCGUAAUAAUGAAAAUCACGUUAAAACAUUCAAGAGAUACAACAUAUGCAUGCACAAAAUCAGGCUCCAACAUCCUCCCCCUAAAGUGGGUCAAAAAGGGGGAAAAAGAAGAGAGAAGGGGAAAAACUAUAACAUGAUGGUUCUUGUACAGAAGUUACCCAGGAGGAAGAAGGAAAUAACUAUUGAUGUGUAAAGACCUUAACAUGAUAGGGAGAUCAAUCCAAUAAGGUAAGGAUUUCUAGCCAAAUGAUGAUCAUUGUUGUGUGCAUGGAUACCAAUGGAUUAGACUGAUAGUGACAUAAAACAUAUUUUGUUUUCUAUGAAGAAGUAGUGGGGUAUCAAAAUGAAGAUAGGAGGAAGCGCAGAGUGAGUAGUUGUCCAUAUAAUAGGAAUUUUGAGAUUGAAAAAUUAAUGUCUUUUUUGCGGGGUUAUCACAUUUUGUCCUUAACAUGGAAACCACCUCAGUAAGAAACAACGGGUGAGAUAAUUUUGAGUUCUGUGGAAAUGGAAAUGAGUUUAUAGUUUAUUUUAGUUGUAUUGCAGUCUAUCUUGGGACUUGGAUGAAAUUGGUCGGGGAUUUCUUGAAACUUGUAUGGUUAUGACUUAUGAUGUGUACUAUUAUAUCUGUAAUUCCUGUCUUUAGCUUAUUGGCAAGAAUUUCUAUUUGUUUGAAUAAUAUGUUUGUGCAUUGACAUAUUUAUAAUAUUACUUUAUGUAACCAUUUUGGUUAAAUUUAAGAAGCAUUAUUUAGACAACUUUUAUAAUGCAUACCAACAAAAGAUUAUUUUUCUAAACAAAAACAUAUUUUGCUUAGUUCCCAUGUUUUUGAUGAUUUAAUUGAUCCCUUCAUAAAUCAUUUUCAAGUACCUAUCAAUUUUGGCUUGAAAAAUAAAUGGAUGACUUGGAAAAUGAAAAAUAUCUUGGCUACAGGCAAGGCAAAUAUGAGUAUUCUGAAACUGAACUCUCAAAUGUUGAAAAAGCAAUAGAUAUAAGAAAACCAUGUAUGAAAGAAUAGUUGGAAUGACUAGGCUUGAUUGUCCAAGGAGGAAGUCCUCAUUUGCAAAGAGGGUGCACUUUCUAUGAUGUUUAUGCUAAGAAUUCAGUGGGAGAAGGCAUAGAGAGAAGUUUCGAGGAUAUCAUAUUGUCCAUGCUUCAUAACCAGUGAGAAUGUGUGCUUGGUCGCCAAACUUUGAAGAAAAGAUUCAACGAGGAUAUCAUAUUGUCUAUAUGCUUCAUAACCAAUGAGAAUGUCUAUUAGUAGCAAGAAAGAACAAAGUACCCAUUCAUAUCAUAUAGUAUUUACAAUAUUUACUGUUGGUGGAUUAUCAGCAUUGAAAGUGCUCCAUGCAAAGUCAUAAGUUCCAUUGAUUCAGCUGUCAAGUUGAGACGGCUGUUGAACUUUUGAGGUGAAUUUCAUUCAUUAUCAACUCUACCUGCUUGAACAAAUAGAGUUAAAAGAAACACGAAAGUUCAAAUUAUGGUCAAUAAAAUAUAUGCAUGUGCCGCAACUCAAAAUGUGCUUGUGCAUUUAGUCCAUUAUCACAAAAGAAAAUAUGUAGUGAUUUUGCUUGACUUGGAACGGAUAAUUGACAUGUGGAAGAUAGGUGGUGCUUGCCUGAGUUUUACAUAAUUGAUCUGGUAAUGAGAUGUUCAAGACCACCAUCAUUAACUUGCAGACAAGUUGUAACCUGCUUUUAUAAAACCCUAUAGAGAUGAACAAUGAUGUGACUUCUCUCAGCACACAAUUUCAUAAUCAUCAUAAUCAUAACCAUUUAGACUUUUCCCGACUAAUUGGAUCAAGUUUACAAAUCCUUGUUGCCAAAGCAUUCUUAUCUCUGAUGUUAUUCCAUGUUUCUGCUUAUCCUUUCAAACCUCUCUCCAUGUUAAUUCCGGGCUUUCUUUUCCUUUCUUACAACAUUCAACAUAAACUACCUACCUCUUCUUAUAGGAGUCUUUUUCAGAUGUUUUUAGUAUAUAUCCAUCAGGGUUAACCAAACCAUACUGAACUGGGCAGUUUGGGCCAUACUAAACAAACCGGUCAAGAAUGGAACGGUUUGGCCAGUCGAGACAAUUUGGUCCCAAAAAUAGACCCCUUGCCCCCACGACCCCUUCGAAGGCUUUGACCCUUCAUGUGUUCUUCCACCCUGUCUCUCUCCUCCCCCUCUCCCACCCCCGAUUCCACCAUGUUCGACCAACUCCACGACCGGACAAAGGUGGUGCCCCCCCACCCCCCUCUCCCUCUACCCUCUCCCCUCAUUCUCACCAUGGUUGGAGCUUCGAAGCUCCAGGUACUAUCGAAAUAAGCCCUUAGAGUACGGGUGCAGGGAUAAGUUUCUGAGGAGUUUGGAAGUGCUUGUGCUACCAUAAACAUAAGAUUCUUAUUACUGAGGUCAGAAAUACCUUUUUUUUUU